UACGAAGGGGGCGAGCGUUGUUCGGAAUUACUGGGCGUAAAGCGUGCGCAGGCGGUGAUGUAAGACAGUUGUGAAAUCCCCGGGCUCAACCUGGGAACUGCAUCUGUGACUGCAUCGCUGGAGUGCGGCAGAGGGGGAUGGAAUUCCGCGUGUAGCAGUGAAAUGCGUAGAUAUGCGGAGGAACACCGAUGGCGAAGGCAAUCCCCUGGGCCUGCACUGACGCUCAUGCACGAAAGCGUGGGGAGCAAACAGG
rnacentral:rRNA from 1 species